rnacentral:misc_RNA from 1 species
UAUUUCAAAAUGGCGUCUAAACCCAGUUGUUUGAUAGUUUGUAGCUCUUCACCAGAAGGUGUGUCUGCAUCUUCGUUUAUUCAUGCAUUCACUCUCACAAACUCAACUUUUAAUGUCCAAAUUGUCACACCUCAGGGUCGACAAAUUGAGUUUAUCCGAUCAGAUGAGAGUAGCAAGAGAUGGAUCAAUGACUUUAGAACAAAGACAAUAUCAGUGCCUGGUAAACUGGAAAAUAUUCAAGCCUCUAGGUUCUCUGCCAUGCUUAUUCCGAGUUCUCCUGGCGCUUUAAACGAUUUAGCUGAGAACGAGGUUUUGGCAGCGUUGUUGAACCGUUUCAUUGAACAAAAAAAGCCAAUUUGUGCUGUUGGGUAUGGCGUCGCUGCGUUAUUCGCAGCGAAGAACGAAAACAACAAGUCUUCGUGGAGUUUCAAGAGUUAUUCAUUGACUGCCCCUUCUUUGUUUGAAAUGGUCAAAACGGAGAAUUUUAACACCCUGAACAUAAUUCCUGAAGAUUACAUAAAGGAUCAUGGCGGAACAUACAGUGCCAGCGAAUGUGAUGCCGUUCACGUGGUUAUGGACCGUCAUGUUAUAACGGGGCAGAAUGACCAGUCAACGCUUUGUGCUGUACAAAACCUCAUAUUAUUAUGCAAUGCAAGACAUGGAAAAGCAAAGUCGUGAUACAGUCAUGAUAUGCAAGUUAAAUGCUCGACUAAAACAAAACCUAAAAGUGAACAAUUAGUAACCGCAUUUGGGGAUAGAAACGAAAUCAUGCGAUGUUGAAUUACGUUGAAUCGUCAGAUUUGUAUGCUAUUACAAUUCAAAGCUAUCUUAUUUACACUACAGUUGAUUCGUAUGCAAAGACAAUGCAAGAUAGACUUGAAAGAAAUCUAGUCUAUAUCAAUUACAGCAUGGAUAAUGAAUUUGUUCUUCUAAAGUCUAUUUACUGGGUAUAAACUAGGAAUACAACCAAAACUACAAAUUGAAACGAAAACAAAAAAAUAAAUUGAAAAAGUAUAGAUUAAUUUUAGCAAUAUGUAAAAUAGUAUAUUAUAUGGAUUUUGCAACAAUGCAACUCAUUAAUUUAAAAAUCAUGUAAAUUUAAGUGGAGCAUUGCUAUUCUUGUCUGUUACAAUUUAGCUUUUCUAGGUAACUCUGCCAGAUAAACAAUGUUUGCUGGCAUAUUAUGGUGAUGUUAUUUCAGGUCAAAGCAAGAGAAUCGAGGAGGCAGAGAUUAGGUACUGCCUUUUGCAAAGAAUCAGGUAAAGUGCAACACAAUGCGACAUGCUAGCACUUAUGGCUUGGUAUUUAACUAUAGAGGGCCAAUGUGUCACAAAUAACUAAAGGAGUGUCCACUAUCCAAAUGAAGCAAACAGAAAGAACCGGCCUCGUCAACUCUUGUUUUUGCAUUCAAGAGGAGAGAAUACUUUUGAGGGAGCAAAUAAAACUUGUCAAG